GGGCCCGCACAAGCGGUGGAGCAUGUGGUUUAAUUCGAUGAUACGCGAGGAACCUUACCAGGGCUUAAAUGCAGUUGGACAGGUCUGGAAACAGACCCUUCUUCGGACUAAUUGCAAGGUGCUGCAUGGUUGUCGUCAGCUCGUGCCGUGAGGUGUCAGGUUAAGUCCUAUAACGAGCGCAACCCCUGUGGUUAGUUGCCAGCGAGUCAUGUCGGGAACUCUAGCCAGACUGCCGGUGCAAACCGUGAGGAAGGUGGGGAUGACGUCAAAUCAUCACGGCCCUUACGACCAGGGCUACACACGUGCUACAAUGGUAGGUACAGAGGGCAGCUACACAGCGAUGUGAUGCGAAUCUCAAAAAGCCUAUCGUAGUCCAGAUUGGAGUCUGCAACUCGACUCCAUGAAGUAGGAAUCGCUAGUAAUCG
rnacentral:rRNA from 1 species